GUGUCAGCAGCCGCGGUAAUACGUAGGAGGCGAGCGUUAUCCGGAAUGACUGGGCGUAAAGGGUGCGUAGGUGGUUUGGCAAGUUAGUAGCGUAACCCCGGGGCUCAACCUCGGAACUACUACUAAAACUGUCGGACUUGAGUGCAGGAGGGGCAAUUGGAAUUCCUAGUGUAGCGGUGGAAUGCGUAGAUAUUAGGAGGAACACCAGUGGCGAAGGCGAAUUGCUGGACUGUAACUGACACUGAGGCACGAAAGCGUGGGGAGCAAACAGGAUUAGAAACCCUGGUAGUCC
rnacentral:rRNA from 1 species